rnacentral:piRNA from 1 species
UCCUUUCAAAGUCAAACUACUAGAGUGAGGU